rnacentral:rRNA from 1 species
UUAACACAUGCAAGUCGAGCGGUAGCACAAGGGAGCUUGCUCCCUGGGUGACGAGCGGCGGACGGGUGAGUAAUGUCUGGGAAACUGCCUGAUGGAGGGGGAUAACUACUGGAAACGGUAGCUAAUACCGCAUAACGUCGCAAGACCAAAGAGGGGGACCUUCGGGCCUCUUGCCAUCAGAUGUGCCCAGAUGGGAUUAGCUAGUAGGUGGGGUAAUGGCUCACCUAGGCGACGAUCCCUAGCUGGUCUGAGAGGAUGACCAGCCACACUGGAACUGAGACACGGUCCAGACUCCUACGGGAGGCAGCAGUGGGGAAUAUUGCACAAUGGGCGCAAGCCUGAUGCAGCCAUGCCGCGUGUGUGAAGAAGGCCUUCGGGUUGUAAAGCACUUUCAGCGAGGAGGAAGGUGGUGAACUUAAUACGUUCAUCAAUUGACGUUACUCGCAGAAGAAGCACCGGCUAACUCCGUGCCAGCAGCCGCGGUAAUACGGAGGGUGCAAGCGUUAAUCGGAAUUACUGGGCGUAAAGCGCACGCAGGCGGUUUGUUAAGUCAGAUGUGAAAUCCCCGGGCUCAACCUGGGAACUGCAUUUGAAACUGGCAAGCUAGAGUCUCGUAGAGGGGGGUAGAAUUCCAGGUGUAGCGGUGAAAUGCGUAGAGAUCUGGAGGAAUACCGGUGGCGAAAGCGGCCCCCUGGACGAAGACUGACGCUCAGGUGCGAAAGCGUGGGGAGCAAACAGGAUUAAAUACCCUGGUAGUCCACGCUUUA